GGUUUGUUUUUUUUUUUAAAAAAAAAACACUUUAUUUGCAGCCCUAUCCAUACAGUUCAUCACCAGCUGUACUGCUAAAGCAGCAAGUUCCCAUUGGGUAUCAACCGGCUUACAACUAUCAGGCUCAACCACAGUGGCUUCCUGGAGAGCAAAGAAAUUAUGUAAUACCUCCAACUCCGGUAAGCCUAGACUUCUGAAACUGUCUUAUUAAUUAGCACAUUGUUUUUACAGCUUGAUACUUAAAAAAAAGUCUGAUGGUUGUCUGGAACAAGGUAAUCUGGUCUACAAAAUCUGUAAUUGUUAAUGAGAGUUGUAGUUCAGGAUUUCUACUGAUAUGGUGCUUAAAAAUUGAGUUACCUGACAGUUAAUGCCUGUUUUAUGGCAUUAUUCUACAUGUUCUAGUCACAGAACUCUGGAAUUUUAACCAGUUUGGAGUUGGAGUCCAGGAAAAGUUGGAGGACAAAUAAGGUUUUAAAAAUUUUUCCAGGCUGCUGCAAACUGUAGAUGGUGCUGCUGUCGGCCAUCUAAAAAAAUUCUUUGCUUUCUGUGACUUAAUGCGAGUAACAUACAUGAGAAAGGGGGAAAAAAUACUCUGUAUUUGUUUAGCAAUGUUGGAGUUAAAAAUGCCCAUGGGGCAAGUUUAGUGUUCUUUAGGUAUAUUUGUUGGCUUCAGUUUUGAUUAAGUGUUUAAAAGCUGUAAUAUAUAAUUUUAUUCUGAAUGGUAUUCUUUUUCUGAAAGCUAUGAGAAGUAAUUGAAAUACUGAUGACACUGUUGGCUUGAAAUAGUUUCUUUUAGUAGCAUCUAUGAAUGUGAUACAGCCAUAGUGUAUCACUUUAUAAUUCAAUUCAAAAUGUUUUUAGGGUAGGUGUGUAUGGGGGUUUCACUGUUAAAUGCCACAGGCUUGAUUAUAGGAGCAGACAGCUAUUCUAGAACUAUCUCACUUAAGCAACUCUAAGUAUCAUUCUUAAAUGUUUUAGUAAAACAGGUUAUGACACACUAUUUAACCUACCCAUGAAAUUUAUCAAAACUGUGCGAUAAGAUAA